AUUCUGCCCAAGCGGGGAAGGAUGAGAAGCUUCGACCAAGGUUCGACUCGAGCGCCAGCGAGAGAGCGUUGCCGCAGGCAACGGCCCGAAGGGUGAGGAGCGAAGCGACGAAUAAUCCUUCCCCCACCACCA
rnacentral:sRNA from 1 species